rnacentral:lncRNA from 1 species
ACUCGCCGCGGAGCCUCGGCCGGCCCGGGGGCGGCGGCGCUGAGGGCGCGGCGGGGACGGUCUGGGGGCUUGGGGACGCCGGUGGGGGGUGAGGGCGGUGGGCCGCCUGGAGACCCCGGGGUGCCCUGGCUCGCCGGCCGGGCCCUGUAGCCCUCGUCCCGUGGGGCCGGGGGCCGGGGUUCCCGCGCUGUGCCGGGAGGGCCCGGCCGUCUGGAAGACUUGGCAGCCGGGGCAAGCGACGUGGGCUCGGACGCGCGAGGAGGGCUGGGGAGCGGGGCGCGGGGCUGGGAAGGGCGCCGUCCGGCGGUGGCCGGGCUGGCGGCGGGCGGGGACUGCGGAGGAGGCAGCUUGCGCCGGGGCUGGGGCCUGCUUCGGGGGACUAGCGGCCCGGGAGGUAUGGAGGUGCCGCUCCGGGGGGGGCGAAAGAAACGUGGAAAGGUCGCCCAGGAGGGAGCCUGUCCCCCAGGGUUUCCAGGGGCAACGGUGGCCCGUGUCCCUGGAGGACAUGCGCCAGGGCAGCAGGGAGUGGUCCCCGCAGGCUCCCAGGCUGGGGCCGGCCGCCUUCUGGGGCGCUCAGACCUGUCUGCUGCAGUUUGCAAACAGUACGCCCGAAUUCUUUUCAUUGUAAAAAAUUUCUAUUAAAAAUAACUCGUAAAGCCUAUCAUCUCUUUUAAAUAAAGGGGAAGAAAGAG